rnacentral:rRNA from 1 species
CGUGCCAGCAGCCGCGGUAAUACGUAGGUGGCAAGCGUUGUCCGGAAUUAUUGGGCGUAAAGGGCUCGCAGGCGGUUUCUUAAGUCUGAUGUGAAAGCCCCCGGCUCAACCGGGGAGGGUCAUUGGAAACUGGGGAACUUGAGUGCAGAAGAGGAGAGUGGAAUUCCACGUGUAGCGGUGAAAUGCGUAGAGAUGUGGAGGAACACCAGUGGCGAAGGCGACUCUCUGGUCUGUAACUGACGCUGAGGAGCGAAAGCGUGGGGAGCGAACAGGAUUAGAUACCCUGGUAGUCCACGCCGUAAACGAUGAGUGCUAAGUGUUAGGGGGUUUCCGCCCCUUAGUGCUGCAGCUAACGCAUUAAGCACUCCGCCUGGGGAGUACGGUCGCAAGACUGAAACUCAAAGGAAUUGACGGGGGCCCGCACAAGCGGUGGAGCAUGUGGUUUAAUUCGAAGCAACGCGAAGAACCUUACCAGGUCUUGACAUCCUCUGACAAUCCUAGAGAUAGGACGUCCCCUUCGGGGGCAGAGUGACAGGUGGUGCAUGGUUGUCGUCAGCUCGUGUCGUGAGAUGUUGGGUUAAGUCCCGCAACGAGCGCAACCCUUGAUCUUAGUUGCCAGCAUUCAGUUGGGCACUCUAAGGUGACUGCCG